AGACGGCACAUCAAGUAGGGAGAAUAUCUUUGAGCAAUGAACCUGAUUUUUCUUACAAAGAAAUGACUCAUCAUUGUGAGGCACUUUUAACGGGAAAACAACAAAGGAUAUACAAUUUGAUGAAUAGCCAACAUAGACAAGAUAGUGCAUUGAUCAGAAUAUCACAGAAUUCCAGUGAACAGGACAAAGAAAGCUCUUCCGAUAACCAGGUCUCAGCAGGUACAAUUUGAUGAAUAGCCAACAUCGACAAGAUAGUGCACUGAUCAGAAUAUCACAGAAUUCUAGUGGACAGGACAAAGAAAGCUCUUCCGAUAACCAGGUUGAGAAUCAGGUCUCAGCAGUAGUUUUCUUGUUUUUGGUUUUCUUUGGUUUCUAUAAACUAACCAUUUCAUUUCUCCUUUUUCCAUUCCCUUUUCAUUUGUUUUUUCCAUCUCUGUCCUACUUUGGCAAAACGGACAGCUGGGUUAUAUCUUUUAUGUAAAACGAACUUGCAGUAGAUGUAGCACUACAAUUUUCCUGCUUUGCAUGAUAAACUCCAGCAGUUCAACUCUUGAUGACCAUUCUGAGAUGAGUUUCAUUUAUUAUUGAUAUUUAGGACUAAUUUUACAAGUUAACUUGAUACUCUUUAACAGUUUAGAACUCCUCUUACCUUGCAUUUCUUGACUUGUUUACAUGCUGUAAUCUCCUUUAUAAGGUUCAAGUUAUACUCCGAUAACUUGUACAGUAUCACAUUUCAGUCCACUUUGAUCUUAAACUUACUCUUCACUAAACUGU
rnacentral:lncRNA from 1 species